rnacentral:misc_RNA from 1 species
GGAGUGGCCGGUGAAGGUUCUAACACAUUCUCCGGAGAGGCUAUCCCACAUUCGUACUCGACCAUCAACACAUCCAGUUGCAAGGUAUCUCGAUGUGCCAAUCCAAGUAAGACAUGUUACUCCAUCCUCGUGCUCGCAUGUACUGCGUGGUGUUGAUUGUCGAAGAUCCCAAAUGAUGAGCUUCUGAUCCAUUCCUCCAGUUGCAGCCCAAGGGGAGCUUGGUGCUAGACCGAUGCAUUCAAUUGAAUCUGAAUGGGAAACCAGAGAAUUCACUACC